rnacentral:tRNA from 1 species
AAGGAGUUAGUUUAAAAAAAACAUUUAUAUGUCAAAUAAAAAAAAUAGAAAUAUACACCUUG